UCCGAUGGUGAACCUGCGGAAGGAUCAUUACCGAGUGCGGGCCCCUCGGGGCCCAACCUCCCACCCGUGUUGCCCGAACCUAUGUUGCCUCGGCGGGCCCCGCGCCCGCCGACGGCCCCCCUGAACGCUGUCUGAAGUUGCAGUCUGAGACCUAUAACGAAAUUAGUUAAAACUUUCAACAACGGAUCUCUUGGUUCCGGCAUCGAUGAAGAACGCAGCGAAAUGCGAUAACUAAUGUGAAUUGCAGAAUUCAGUGAAUCAUCGAGUCUUUGAACGCACAUUGCGCCCUCUGGUAUUCCGGAGGGCAUGCCUGUCCGAGCGUCAUUGCUGCCCUCAAGCCCGGCUUGUGUGUUGGGCCCCGUCCCCCCCGCCGGGGGGACGGGCCCGAAAGGCAGCGGCGGCACCGCGUCCGGUCCUCGAGCGUAUGGGGCUUCGUCACCCGCUCUAGUAGGCCCGGCCGGCGCCAGCCGACCCCCAACCUUUAAUUAUCUCAGGUUGACCUCGGAUCAGGUAGGGAUACCCGCUGAACUUAAGCAUAUCAAUAAGCGGAGGAGUCAUA
rnacentral:rRNA from 1 species